rnacentral:rRNA from 1 species
GACGAACGCUGGCGGCGUGCUUAACACAUGCAAGUCGAACGAUUAAAGCCCCUUCGGGGGUGUAUAAAGUGGCGAACGGGUGAGUAACGCGUGGGCAACCUGCCCUUAAGUGGGGGACAACCUUGGGAAACCAGGGCUAAUACCGCAUAAUGUGACCGAGAGGCAUCUCUUGGUCAAGGAAGGUGUAAACCGCUUUUGGAUGGGCCCGCGUAAGAUUAGCUUGUUGGUGAGGUAAAGGCUCACCAAGGCUAUGAUCUUUAGCCGGCCUGAGAGGGUGAUCGGCCACACUGGGACUGAGACACGGCCCAGACUCCUACGGGAGGCAGCAGUGGGGAAUAUUGCACAAUGGGCGCAAGCCUGAUCCAGCCAUGCCGCGUGAGUGAUGAAGGCCCUAGGGUUGUAAAGCUCUUUCGGCGGGGACGAUAAUGACGGUACCCGCAAAAGAAGCCCCGGCUAACUUCGUG